CCUGCAGUUUCCCCCUCCCUCCUGUUGUCAGUAUCUGAAUCUAGCUAUGGUAUCAGAGGCCAAGGCUGCAAUCCAAUGUAUGUCUAUUGAGAAGUCAGGUCUACUGGGUUCAAUGGGACCUACUCCCAUUUCACUGAACUGCUUAUUUCUGUGAGUGAGCACACAGACCCUGCACUUCACCCUCAUUAAAAGCUGAUGGAAUAAACAGGGUGAUUAACUAUGCUGAGAGGAAAAGGAAGAGGGAGGGGCUUUAUUCAAAGGCAUGCUGGAUCAUGUAUUUCUUU